UCCAGACUCCUACGGGAGGCAGCAGUGAGGAAUAUUGGUCAAUGGCCGGAAGGCUGAACCAGCCAUGCCGCGUGAAGGUCAGUGCCCUAUGGGCGUUAAACUUCUUUUGUGCGGGAGCAAUAAUGGUCACGUGUGGCCAGACGAGAGUACCGUACGAAUAAGCAUCGGCUAACUCCGUGCCAGCAGCCGCGGUAAUACGGGGGAUGCAAGCGUUAUCCGGAUUUAUUGGGUUUAAAGGGUGCGCAGGCGGAAUGUCAAGUCAGCGGUAAAAUUUCGGGGCUCAACCCCGUCGUGCCGUUGAAACUGGCAGUCUCGAGUUGGAGAGAAGUAUGCGGAAUGCGCGGUGUAGCGGUGAAAUGCAUAGAUAUCGCGCAGAACUCCGAUUGCGAAGGCAGCAUGCCGGCUCCACACUGACGCUGAGGCACGAAAGCGUGGGUAUCGAACAGGAUUAGAUACCCCUGUAA
rnacentral:rRNA from 1 species